GGCUGAUAAGGUUUGAAAUCUGGUGGACUGCAGCACGACAACAGCUGAAGAUAAACGGCAUGAUUCGGUCCAUUUUUUUCUGGUGUCAGAAAGGAGUUUUACACUUCCAAACUCUCUGUGACUGAUUGUCUUAGGCGAAAUUCUCACUGCAACCCAUUGGAUGCUGAGUAUAGAGAGCCAAGUGUUCAUGAAUCCGCACCCCAGCUUUGUGGCACUAUUUUUGCUGCUUUGUUUUCAUCAUACCACAUCUUCAAUCUGAGGCAUCCUGCACAUUUGAAUUUAUCCAAAGAUAUUUUGUCGGAAUCAACCCACACACUGGCAACCAAGACCGACACAUCUAAGUUUGGAACAAAAAAAGUGUGAACGUCUCAGAGAAGAGGAACAACAGUCAGUCCUCAUGUAUGUUCUCUUCUCAGAAGGCGAGUGGACUUUGAUUGGUUGAGCAUAGUCAUCCAUGGCAAUGCUUUGAGAAUCCUUCCCGGCGUUCCCCAUGACUUCAGCGGAGCAUCGCUCAGCGCCGUGAUGGCCCUAUUCACACUCAGGCUUUCCAUCUGUAGCACCUGAGGAAGAGGACGGGAACGCCGAGCUGUCAGGAGAGAUGAGCUCACGCUCUCUGCGGCUGGCUGUCAAAUGCGACACAUCCUCUUCAAGAGCAGACACAAGAGCAAACUUCCGCUACUCCUCGAUCUUUGUCUCUUUGUCUAUCUGUGUCGUUAUCUUUCUUUCUUUAACUGUUCUUCUCCUUUAUGCGUUUUAUUCGAAUCGUAGGACGGUAGUGGUUACGGCAGACUUGUGCAUCAUGACCUGCGGAAUCAGAGGUGUCCUUCAUUUGUAGGUGAAGGAAGUGAUUUAUUAAAAACAGUUCACUUUGCUAAUUAAGGCACAAACUGUUUUAUGGGAUCAGGGCAUCAUUUUUUUUAUUUUUAUUUUUUGAGUUUAUUGGGUGCAUGAGUUGACAUAAGACCAAAGAGUAGAAAACAGCAGAUUUUUUCAUUAAGUUAAAUGAUGUACUAAAAUAAAAAUUAAAAAAACUAAUAAAAAUGAC